rnacentral:rRNA from 1 species
ACAGCAGCCGCCGCGGUAAUACAGAGGGUGCGAGCGUUAAUCGGAUUUACUGGGCGUAAAGCGUGCGUAGGCGGCUUUUUAAGUCGGAUGUGAAAUCCCUGAGCUUAACUUAGGAAUUGCAUUCGAUACUGGGAAGCUAGAGUAUGGGAGAGGAUGGUAGAAUUCCAGGUGUAGCGGUGAAAUGCGUAGAGAUCUUGAGGAAUACCGAUGGCGAAGGCAGCCAUCUGGCCUAAUACUGACGCUGAGGUACGAAAGCAUGGGGAGCAAACAGGAUUAGAUACCCGAGUAGUCCCUGUCUCUUAUAC